UUGGAUAUUGUAAACUAACUGAAUCAAAUGAUUCUCAUGAGGAGUCACAUUCUUGCAGAUUAGCCAAACAACUAAGAAGAUAUUGAAGUAAGAAACGCAGAGUUAAAGAAUGAAAAAGAAUAAGUAAUUUUCCUACCAAAGCUUGUCCGGCCAAGAAAUUGAGCUAUCAACCCCUGCAGUAGUCUUAGAAUACAGAACAUUUUUCAAUUGAGAGAGAUAUGGUGUAAGUUUGAUUUCGAGUAGCUUGUCUAAAGGGAGUUCAAAGAAGUCAUACGAAGAUCGAAGAAUGAACUUACUAUAUACAUUCCCUGCGGUUGGUUUGUCAAUAAAGCACACUCCUCAAGAGUGUCAUAUAUGCCUUUAAUGUUGUCCUCUUUAAUGUAACCAGGAAGCACUACUUCACUGCAAGUGACAAAAGAGAACAAUGCAAGCAGUUAGGUAAAUUUUGUAAUAAAGAUAUCAAUACUAAAUAGGAAAGGACGUUGUUGGAUAAGAUAGAUCCAUGAAUCUUGAUUUUACCUUCCAUAUUACCAAGCAUACAAUUGAAGAUCCUAACGAAAGUGUGUUGUAGCCUAGGCUAGAUCCUAGCUGUAUAAAAACUUGAUUUCCUCCAAAGAUGGUCCAUACUUUCCACAAUAACAUGCAAGCUUCUCAUGGAAGGUGUAUACAGAGUCAAAUGCAGUUGCACUGCAGAAACCUUCAUUCCAAAUAACAAGUGUAGCAUGUCAACCUCUUCUUUGCCACGGAUCCAUUGAUAAAAAAUUUGACCUCCUUGAGGGUAAGUACUCCAAUCACCUUAGAAACCUACAGAACAACUAUCAUUCUUUUUCAUAAAGAAAGAUGAAAUUUUGAAAACAAUCAUGAAGCUUUUCUUUUUGUUUUAUUUGUAGCUUUGCCUUUUCUCUCUCUUUUAAAUUGCAUAAUGAUAUGUAUAAAUAUUUUUUUCCCUGUAAAUUACACUUAAGACUUCAGCAAUAUACUCUAGUACAACAUGGAUGGAAGACUAUUGUAGUUUUUUAGGAGUAGCCAUUACAUUUUAUAUUUAAAAGAUCUCCAGCACUAUCUCAAUUAAGUACAUGUAUCUCCUUGCAAACUAUUCUUUUUUUUCGGUUUCAUUGUUAAUUUUGGAAGCACACAUAAGCAUAUUAGGCGCUGAUAAAUCUGUUGCUACGAUCACAUCAUCUAAUGUAGUUACACGACCAUACCAAUCUUUUGUAUUCUAAAAGCUAAAUUUAUUUCUGUGGAAUGACUUGACCAAUCUAUCAUGUGAUAAUAAUUUUCUUCCUGGUAACAUAUAUACCAAAGCUAACUGAAAUUAAAUAAAAUAAAU
rnacentral:lncRNA from 1 species